UACGUAGGGUGCGAGCGUUAAUCGGAAUUACUGGGCGUAAAGCGUGCGCAGGCGGUUCGUCGUGUCGGCGGUGAAAGCCCCGGGCUCAACCUGGGAAUGGCCGUUGAAACUGGCGAACUGGAGUGUGGCAGAGGGGGGUGGAAUUCCGCGUGUAGCAGUGAAAUGCGUAGAGAUGCGGAGGAACACCGAUGGUGAAGGCAGCCCCCUGGGCUAACACUGACGCUCAGGCACGAAAGCGUGGGGAGCAAACAGG
rnacentral:rRNA from 1 species